UACGUAGGGUGCAAGCGUUAAUCGGAAUUACUGGGCGUAAAGCGUGCGCAGGCGGUUAUGUAAGACAGUUGUGAAAUCCCGGGCUCAACCUGGGAACUGCAUCUGUGACUGCAUAGCUAGAGUACGGUAGAGGGGGAUGGAAUUCCGCGUGUAGCAGUGAAAUGCGUAGAUAUGCGGAGGAACACCGAUGGCGAAGGCAAUCCCCUGGACCUGUACUGACGCUCAUGCACGAAAGCGUGGGGAGCAAACAGG
rnacentral:rRNA from 1 species